CUCUCGCCCCGACCAAACCAAAAUAGAGACAUAAAAAAGCAACUAAAGUCAGGCCAAACACAUAGAAAUACAAAAACAUAGAAAAAGGAACAUAGAAUGCCCACCCCAACUCACACCCUGACCAAACCCAAAGGUAUGAACAGACAAACAAGUCCCUCACUAAGAGUAAGGAGGACAAUAAUGACACAAAGAACAUUUAUUUUGGCAUCUUUUGAUGCCAACCCGACAGGUGACACACCAGCAUGCGCCCUCCAGUAGUCAACGUGUGGGAACCUUUCUUUACCAUACUGUACAGUCAGGGGUCAUUAAUGCGUUGGGGAAUGGUCUGCUGUUUCAUCCACAACUACAUGUGUACAGAACUACGUAUUAACAUUGCUUGGCUAUAUUCUAUGGCUUGAUUCACAACAUUUCACCUGGGAUAACUACUUGAAGAAUGAAGAAUGAUCUAAUUAUUUGUAGCAAUCAAAUUUGAUCUUAUUGACUGUACAAAAGCAAUCUAAGGGGGUUGGGAUAAGCAAAAAGCAGAAAAACUAACUGACUAAGGGGGAAGAGAAGUAUGAUAAGCAGAACAACUAACUAAGGGGGAAGAGAAUUGUGAGAAGCAGAACAACUAACUAAGGGGGAAGAGAAUUAUGAUAAGCAGAACAACUAACUAAGGGGGAAGAGAAUUGUGAGAAGCAGAACAACUAACUAAGGGGGAAGAGAAUUAUGAUAAGCAGAACAACUAACUAAGGGGGAAGAGAAUUAUGAUAAGCAGAACAACUAACUAAGGGGGAAGAGAAUUAUGAUAAGCAGAACAACUAACUAAGGGGGAAGAGAAUUAUGAUAAGCAGAACAACUAACUAAGUGGGAAGAGAAUUAUGAUAAGCAGAACAACUAACUAAGGGGGAAGAGAAUUAUGAUAAGCAGAACAACUAACUAAGGAGGAAGAGAAUUAUGAUAAGCAGAACAACUAACUAAGUGGGAAGAGAAUUAUGAUAAGCAGAACAACUAACUAAGGUGGAAGAGAAUUAUGAUAAGCAGAACAACUAACUAAGUGGGAAGAGAAUUAUGAUAAGCAGAACAACUAAUUAAGGUGGAAGAGAAUUAUGAUAAGCAGAACAACUAACUAAGUGGGAAGAGAAUUAUGAUAAGCAGAACAACUAACUAAGGUGGAAGAGAAUUAGGAAAAACAAAAUGCUGAAAAAUGACAGGAUAUUAAACCAAGAAUAGAAGAGCAGGGAGUCCAUUUCGACAAUAUCACAAAUAACCUGCUCAUGACAACUUGAGGACACAGAUGGCCAGAAGUGUU